GUGGGCACAGCAAGCUGACUUGCCUUCUCGAGUGGGUGAAAAACAAUUGGCAUUUCAGUGAGGAACUGGAUGUAAUACAUGAAAUGGCUCAGAUCUACUCAGCUGGAACCCAGGUGAGGAGAAUAUUCUGAGUAAAAAAAUCAUGAUUUGUUGUUUUCUGGGCUUUGGCACUAUACAGAACACCACAGGCAGUUUGUUCCAGGGUAGAGGUCAGGGAUGGCUGGCCUGAGGGACACACAGACCCCAGACUCAUCUCCCUCUCUCAGCCAGGGCGGUAGCUCUCCCUUCACCUCCUGAUGUCCUCGGACUUUAUUCCCAGCUCAAAUGCCACGCUCCUCGAAAGUGCAGUACGCUGUCAGGAUGAGCUUUCGUUGCCCUACGUUGGAAUUCACUGUGGCACAGCUGUCCCUGGCUUUCCUCCUUUUCCUAUUUCUCAGUCCCACAGCAGUGUCUUGAGAGGACUUGGGUGGAUGUGCAGCAGCUGCAGGGAUGAAGUAGACAGGAGCAGCCAUGGAAGAAACUCAGGUUUCAGUGAAGCACUAUGAGGAGGUCCUCCCAGGGAGGCUGUGGAAUCAAAAUGUUAAAAGGGGUAGAAAAAAAGCGAGCUACAAGAUGAAGAUUUUGCCUACCACGUUUUGAGAAAAUUUAAAAAGAUAAGCGAUACAGUGAAUGAGACAGGACUUUCGGCUAAAAUCGGAGUAAAAUUUGUAGAUUCCAGUAAACCAAAUCCCUAGAGAAGAGUCCCAGCCAAGACAAUGUUAGAAACUUGGUUGCAAAUUGUACAAGUUUGAACUGAGAAGGCCAAGUUUGUGGGUUAAUGGAAAAGAGAAAAAUAGGCAUCCCAAGAAGGAUACAUUGUUUUCCCAUUAAAGAAGCAAGGAAAUACACUUUGAAAAGUAAGUAU
rnacentral:lncRNA from 1 species